rnacentral:rRNA from 1 species
UACGUAGGGGGGCAAGCGUUGUCCGGAAUUAUUGGGCGUAAAGCGCGUGUAGGCGGCAUGGCAAGUCGGGUGUGAAAGCCCUCAGCUUAACUGAGGAAGUGCGCCCGAAACUGCCGUGCUUGAGUGCCGGAGAGGGUGGCGGAAUUCCCCAAGUAGAGGUGAAAUUCGUAGAUAUGGGGAGGAACACCGGUGGCGAAGGCGGCCACCUGGACGGUAACUGACGCUGAGACGCGAAAGCGUGGGGAGCAAACAGG